rnacentral:rRNA from 1 species
UACAGAGGUCUCAAGCGUUGUUCGGAUUCAUUGGGCGUAAAGGGUGCGUAGGCGGUUUGGUAAGUCUGAUGUGAAAUCUAUGGGCUCAACUCAUAGUCUGCAUCGGAAACUGCCGGGCUUGAGUGUGGGAGAGGUGAGUGGAAUUCCUGGUGUAGCGGUGAAAUGCGUAGAUAUCAGGAGGAAUACCGAUGGCGAAGGCAGGUCUCUGGGCUGACACUGACGCUCAUGCACGAAAGCGUGGGGAGCAAACAGG